rnacentral:lncRNA from 1 species
AGGUUACUACACUUGGCAUGUGGAUACCACCCAAGCAGCCUGUGCAGGGGUUGGAGGCUCAAGCAAAAUAUUUGAUGGGUCUGAAUGAAAAUCUGAUGAAACAGAUGUUACUUGAAGCUGAGUGACUUUCUCAGGGUCAAGCAAAUAAGUAAAUGGAGGAGCCAGAAUUAUACCCCAGCUCAUUGCUUACCUUCUGACUCAGCUCUGAAAAACUAGCUCCACAUUUUUAACGCUGCCAAGAGCUCCCUUCUCUGUGGAUUCAUCUAAGACAACAGAUAUUAACACUAGGAUUGUGAUGGCAGUGGAGUCAGUACCAACUGACCCAAGUAUUCCUAGCCUGUGGAAUCUUUAGACUCACUUAAUUCAUUCAACAUAUACUUAUUAAGUGCCUACUGUGUCAUGAACUUCAGGGAUAUGAAAUUCUGCAAGAUAGUCUCUGCUUUUCAGUACCAGGAGCCCCAGAUAUUAUACUUAAUGUUUCAAAUAGUGGAUUCUGGGUUGCUUGAAAGUCAGUAGGCAGCCUUUUUGUCAUUAAAUUUCCUUUAUUGCUCUGAUGCAUUUUAUUUUAUAGUGACUCUGACUACUUCAGAUUGUUCACAAUAUUUUAAAACUUACGUUAUUAAGAUUGCUCAAUUCUGCUGUUCAAAAACUGUUAGUAAAAUGAUAAGGUUACCUUAUGGCUUUGAAUUUUAGGUGCUUUGGUAUCCAUGAUACAUACGUGUAUAUAUAGUCAUGCACCAUGCCACGACGUUGCAGUCAACUACAGACCACAUGUAUGAUAGUGCUCUCAUGAGAUUAUAAUGCCAUAUUUUUAUGGUCCUUUUUCUAUGUUUAGAAAUAUUUAGAUAUACAAAUAAUUACCAUUGUGUUACAGUUGCCUACAGUAUUCAAUACAGUCACAUGUUGUACAGAUUUAUAGCCUAAAAGCAAUAGGCUAUACCAUAUAGCCUAGGUGUGUAGUAGGCUAUACCACUGUUUAAGUCCACUCUAUGAUGUUCACGAAACAACAAAGCCAUCUAAUGACAUAUUUCUCAGAAUGUAUCCCCAUUGCUAAGCAACUCCUGAUUGUGUGUGUAUAUAUAUACGUGUGUGUGUGUAUAUGUGUUCCAAAAUCAAUUUUAUAAUUAAUAUUGGUCCUAAGUUCAGAAUUCAUUUCAACUGUUUAUGUUAAGAAUUACAUUUUGCUAGAUCAUAUGGUAGCUUUAUUUUUACUUUUUAAUUUUACUUUCUCAUAAUGGCUAUACUAAGUUAAAUUCCUGCCAACUGUGUGUAACCGUUCUCCUUUCUCUGUAUCCUUACCAGUGUUUGUUCUUUUUGUCUCUUUGAUAAUAACCAUUCUAACUGGGAUAAGUUGAUAUUUCCCAAUGGUUUUGAUAUGCAUUUCCCUGAUGAUUAGUGAUGCUGAACAUUUUUUCAUAUACCUGUUGGUCAUUUAUAUGUCUUCUGAUCCAAUAAUCCCACUACUGGGUAUAUAUCCAAAGGAAAAUAAAUCUGAAUGUGC